rnacentral:rRNA from 1 species
GUGGGGAAUUUUGGACAAUGGGCGCAAGCCUGAUCCAGCAAUGCCGCGUGCAGGAAGAAGGCCUUCGGGUUGUAAACUGCUUUUGUACGGAACGAAACGGUCCUGGUUAAUACCUGGGGCUAAUGACGGUACCGUAAGAAUAAGCACCGGCUAACUACGUGCCAGCAGCCGCGGUAAUACGUAGGGUGCAAGCGUUAAUCGGCAUUACUGGGCGUAAAGCGUGCGCAGGCGGUUUUGUAAGACAGGCGUGAAAUCCCCGGGCUCAACCUGGUAAUUGCGCUUGUGACUGCAAGGCUGGAGUGCGGCAGAGGGGGAUGGAAUUCCGCGUGUAGCAGUGAAAUGCGUAGAUAUGCGGAGGAACACCGAUGGCGAAGGCAAUCCCCUGGGCCUGCACUGACGCUCAUGCACGAAAGCGUGGGGAGCAAACAGGAUUAGAUACCCUAGUAGUCC